AUUGAACGCUGGCGGCAGGCCUAACACAUGCAAGUCGAGCGGAUGACGGGAGCUUGCUCCUUGAUUCAGCGGCGGACGGGUGAGUAAUGCCUAGGAAUCUGCCUGGUAGUGGGGGACAACGUUUCGAAAGGAACGCUAAUACCGCAUACGUCCUACGGGAGAAAGCAGGGGACCUUCGGGCCUUGCGCUAUCAGAUGAGCCUAGGUCGGAUUAGCUAGUUGGUGGGGUAAUGGCUCACCAAGGCGACGAUCCGUAACUGGUCUGAGAGGAUGAUCAGUCACACUGGAACUGAGACACGGUCCAGACUCCUACGGGAGGCAGCAGUGGGGAAUAUUGGACAAUGGGCGAAAGCCUGAUCCAGCCAUGCCGCGUGUGUGAAGAAGGUCUUCGGAUUGUAAAGCACUUUAAGUUGGGAGGAAGGGCAGUAAGUUAAUACCUUGCUGUUUGAC
rnacentral:rRNA from 1 species